ACACCCUUCUCAUUUUGGCAUAGCAAGAAAAACUCAACAAGAGAAUUAUAAUUUCUUACUCAACUUUGAAUAUGUUAUAUAUUAAGCUUAGUCCUUUCCUGUUUUGCUCAUUUCUUAUAAUUUUUUAUUCGUAUUUGGGUUUAAUUUCAUUGUUUGAGGUAAGUUAAAUCGAAGGGGUGUAAAUGAGCAUAUCAAUUGAAUCCUCUGAAAACGAUGAUUUGAAGAUGAUGAGGCGUUGUUUACAUUUUCGUCGGUGUCUGAUUCGUCUGAAUUGAGGAUAUCGAUUUAACCACCCAUAGUCAGAUGCGAAGAGUGUAUGUAAUAUGCGGCGUCACGAGGGCUAUGCCUCAUGGGUACUUGGGGUUUGCGGAAAGGAUUUACCGCGUGUACCCUGCUUUUGUAUAGGAAUUCAGAGGUUUCAGCCCGAGUGCUUACCUUUGCUUUCAUCUUUUGUGGUAGAGAUUUUCUUAUGGUUUUUCAGAGUCUUCUGCAGCAACGGUUGAACUGUACGAACGGAUAUGUGCAAAGUGAUUAUCUUACAUGUUCGAUGCAGCUGGAUGACCAAAGUUCUCAUGAACUCGCGAUGUUUAUUGCCCUAUUAGUCUGGAGCAACUUUUAUGUUCUAAGUAGUUAACCUUGCUUAGAUUUAAGAUAAGGGAUUAGCAAAUUAAGGUUCAUUUUAUGUGAAUGAACACAAGGAUUCGCUCCCUAUGACAUAUGUGUAGCGUUAGCAUCGAGAAUUUGUGAUAAAUCGGCAAUCGGAGCAGUUUUGAGGUGUUUUCUCCAAGCCCUUAAGCAUAGCUCCGGGAUUGGCUUCGUGCUAUGACGCUUGGCAUAUGUUUUGCAUGUUCGUGAUGUUCAGGAUGCACAUAAAUCAUCUGGUUACUAAUAGUGCAUAAACAGUUUGAAGCAUACUCGUUUAAUGCAAGGUAUGUUCAAAGAACGAGUAGUAAUUUCUACUCGUCGUUAUUUUUUGAGGUGUCGUGUUAGGCGACAGAGCCAUGGUCAAGUUGGUCAAUAAGUUGAAGUUUUCCCGGACCAAGGCUCAAGUGACUCUUUUUAGCCAGAGUGAGGGUCCAACCUGUACUUGAAGAAACAGACAUAAAAUGACAGCAUGCACAGUUUAGGUUUAAGGUCAACAACGUCUUUUUUGCUGCUUUAGCGAUUUUACGUAUGCAGAUUCGGUGCCAAAUUACUUGCAAUGAGGAAGUCUUGUAUGUCCAAUCAGUUGUUAAGGAAGAGACCUGACGUGUUGGCUAAGCUAGCCCCCAGUAUAAAGCAGAGCAACGUUUUUUGCCUCUUUUGAACUAGACGUGGGAAGGUGCAUCCAGACGCGAUUGUUUAACAAGGUAAUGAACAUACAGACUAGGAUAGAAGACAUAUCCAACUAGUUUUCGAAAACAGGAGAUUUUGAAAACAGAAAGGAAGAGGUAGGGUCCUUAUUCAAAAACACAUUUGAGAAUAUUCAAGGAAGUCAUUUGACAGUGCGGUCACAUGGUUUAGUAUAGUCUGAAAUCAAACAGUCUAUUUUUCAUUGUAUUGGAUUCGAAAGCUUUCACUUGGGCUGUUGGCUGUAGUGCUUGCAGAUUACUUGUAAGAGAUAUCGGUUGCUCGAUUCAGGAUGAAGUAUAGAUGCUCAAAGUCCAAAAAGGAGAAGGACAUUCUUGCAUGAAGAGAUGUUAAGGGAUGAUAAGGAUAGUAAGUGCUAUCCUGUGCUGUUUACGAAAGAGGUUUGAUUGUCUUACUAAGUUCUUGUUGGCAAUGUUUAAGAAGACGUAGAUGCGUCUUUUAUUUAUGGAAAUUAUUUAUGUAUUCGAAUGACAAGAAACAAGUUAUUUUAGGAAGUGUGAGGGGGUCGAAAAAGCACGAGGCUAAUACGUGACCUCGUCCCUCGUGGGCGUGACGUUGUCAGAUCAAGUGUAAUUGGAUUUCAUGUGAGUUUACACCCAACCGACUAGUAAUAUAGGAGUCGCCAUUCAGUUUUUAACGACAAUGAGAAAAACUGACAAAACCCGGUUAUCGUGACAUAAAGGGAGUGCAAUUAUGUUCGACCACGACGACCAUAGGUUCCCUUGUGAUCCCUGGUGUGGGGAUCGCUCAACGUACACCCGCAUGGCAGAGAUUGAGAGUUCGGGGGACUGUAGCUACCGAGAGGAGUGCUCAUCGAUAAUACUCCAGAGGAAGGUUAUCCUUACUAGCUCAGCAUAAAUAAUUGAAGGGACAUGCGUUAAACUAUUAAAUUAUUAAACUAUUCUGAAUUGAUUUUAGCAAUAUGCAACACAUAAUACUAAAUCGAUCGUGAUUAUCUUAUUUAGAUUGAUUUAAGGUACCUAGCAUGAUAAUUCAAUUGUCCAAGGUAUUAUCUUAUUAGGCGUGAUAGAUCAACCAAUUUAAUAGUUUGACAAUUUUAUAAAAGGGUGAUAAAAGCGAUUAAAUCAUAUGAGCAACACAUUAAUCAUAUGAGCAACACAUUACAACACACCCUUGAGAGGUGCGUUGUGGUUCUCAGAAAACUAACCACUUGGCUUUGCUAUGUCUCCUUUUAUUUAACGAAUCUCGGGUUUCUAAGCAAUGUUCCAGUAUUUAGGCUUAAUUCAUCAACCUACAAGGGGCAGGUGCGUUCUGUUCGACUUUUGGGUCGAUUGCGACAGAACGCUGGAUCAAUUUAGCAGCGUGAGGCUUAGGCUUAAGGCUAGAGUCAAUACUCAGGUUAUGGAAUUGUGUGUUAUUUUCACGUUGGUUUUGAGGCUGUAUUUUUAGGAAAAGGGUGUGUGGAAAGAUAGAUUUUAAGAUACGAAUCCAAAAAGAAUCCGGAGAUAAAACGACCCCAGGCAUUUUCAGCGCCCAGGGCUGGGCGCCGAAGAUUUCGGCGCCCAGAUCCAGGCGUUGAAAAUGGGAUCUGGGCUUAGUUCUUUGUCAGAUUUGGACUCUUAGAACACGGAGCUUUUGAGAUUUAUCCAAGUCUUUUAGUGCGUAUUAACUUAUGACGGAAUGCGUCUGGGCCCGUUACGAACUCUGGGUUCGUUAGGAAUUUAAUUAAUACGUAACUCUUAUUUUCGAAUUAUACCAGGAAUGCAAAUUCUAUCUAUUUUAGGAUUUAUGUUGGAGUGCAACACCUAAUUCUGACAUGUUUCUAUCUUUUAUGAUUUUGCCACUUUUAACAACUACCUUUUACGGCAGUUACCAUUCUUAGCAGGUUUCUAUAAAUAGCAGCUUUGGCUGAAAUGAAAGGGUGAUUGAGAUUCGUUAUUUUAUAGGAGAUGCGUUGCCAAGUGGAGAUUUAUGUUCUCAUCAUCGAACCUUCCCUUUCGGGAAUGGGGACAAAAGUAGGUGUCUACAGUUAGCCCCCACUUUGACUGAGUCUCGAGAUGAGACGAUGGUCAAAGUACUAGAUGGAGUGCGUCGUACAAGCCAUGUUGUAUUUGACCUGUUUUGCGAGGGUCUCACGAGCCCCCGAGUGAUAACAUUUGACUUAAGGGUCAUCACUUGAAGUGUUAACACAUUCCUCACGUGUCAUUGGAAUUUGUUAACUGAUAGUAUAGAAACUCCCUCACUUUGUCAUUGGAAGUGUCUAAAGAUGUUUUCGAAAUCAAAGCUAUAAAGUGUAACUAGGCCUGGCCAAGCCCAAUCACAAGGUAACGUUUUAAAGAUUCUCAUUUUCAGGGUUAGCUAAACGAGAAAACCCCCUUGUUUUUAUAGGACGUAAAACGAAGGAAAAUCCAGCACAUCACUCUUUUUUGGAAAAGCGGAAAACCAAUCCUUUGAUUUUUGGAAAAGGGAAACCAUCCUUUGAUUUUUGGAAAAGGGAAACCAUCCUUUGAUUUUUGGAAAAGGAUAAACCGGGAAAAGUUAUCGCGGCAGCGACUAAGGACCUGCGCGGUUAGUGGCGCAGACCCCGCCCGCUGAAGGUGGGCGAGCCUGUCCGCUGAGGGUGGACGCCCUGUCCGAUAGAAGUGGACGAAUCUGUUUUGAUGUUUUGAAAAUAAGGACCUACGCGGUUUGUGACGUAGACCCCGCCGGCUGAAGAUGGCGAGCCUGUUUUUGUUUUUUGAAGAAUUUAUUUUCUUUUCAUUUUCGAAAACUGAGGACCUGCGCGGUUAGUGACGCAGACCCCGCCCGCUGAAGGUGGGCGAGCCCUGUCCGCUAAGGGUGGACGCCCCGCCCGCUGGAGGUGAGCGAACCUGAAUUCGUCUUUUAGAUUUGGGACUCGCGUGGUGCGUGCCGCGAUCUUGCCCGAUUGAGGUGGGCAAGUCCCUAUUUCAUUUGUUCUUGUGAUUUCUUUUGAGAAUUUCUUUUUUCUUGUAAGAGCGAGUUCUAUCGAGGGAUGCUCGGAUUUAGUUGCAACCUGAAUGUGGGUUGACAACGUGCUUAGACGGACCAUUGUCUCGUGGUCAUCAUCUUUCAUGGUUUUGAGCUAGUCUUUACGGCUCAAUUUUGCCACUACCUGGGUCCUUGAUUAAGGGACUAUGUAUAAGUAUCAACAGUGACCUUUGUCUUGAGGUCGUAAUCCGGUUUUAUCUUUUGAGAUUGUCCAAACACGGGACUUCGUACAGCGUAGUCUGGGAAUAUUGCUUUUAACUUUGCAUACUCUCUUUUGAAAUAUAUAUUUUCUUUCGAGCCCCCAAGCACUCAUGCUUGACGGUCAGUUCUUGUCAAAGAGGUUCUUUGGGGAUACAUAUUUUGUAAUGUCCUUGAUCGUGUUUUGGAUCGUGCUCGUAAGUGCGAGCGAUCUUUGUAGUGGUAUGCUACUUUGAUGAAGUCGUGGAGUGCGACUUCAUUUUCCGGGCGACAAAGUUUGCUUCAUUUUUCAAUAAUUAAUACAUGAGCUUACUUUGGCCCGGAUUGAUCUUUUGACAAAUAAACGCUUUUUAAUUUGAGAAACCAACGACUUAAUUUUUGUUUUUGUGUUUCGAAGAAUGACCUUGAUUUUUAUUUUUUCUAUAUUGCCUUGAAAAAUGUACACAUAUUUUUUCCUUGAGAUGAGUCAAGUUUUAACAUUUGUUCUCACUAUUCGGGCUCUAAAGGUGCUUUGGGCUUGAUCUUGAUUACAACAGGGCCUCGUGUCUACUAACACGGUUUUAAGUCCUUUCCUGCUCCGUGUUUUGAAGGAUCCGGGCCUUGGGCUACAUUUCCGGCGCCCCUGGCCAGGCGUUUAAAAUUUUGGCGCCCAGCCUUGGGUGCUGGAAAUUCUAUUUUGGUAGUUCCCGAAUUUCUUAACGCGUUUCCGAAUGGGAUCAGGAUGUCACUUGAUGCUUUCGUGUAUAUAUAGGGGUCAAGUACGUCUUUCUUUUUCACCACUCUCAAUCUUCCUCUCUUUUGCAAUUUCUUAGCUUUUAUUCUUCCCUGAUCUUGCCAUGUCGAUUCCUCCUUUCUCCCUCCAACGAGUUGUUAGGCGCUGGCUAAGAGCCAUUAAUCCCACAGAAAAGGCUUUGUUGAAAGGAUACCAUUUAGAGGCAUUCUUAGGCUUACAACAAAUUAAUAUUGAUUAUAAUUUCCUGUAUGCGGCCCUAGACUUUUGGGAUUCUGAUCACCAUGUUUUUGUCUUUCGGGGCAAUGAAGUAUGCCCUUUGCCAGAUGAAUUUGCCGCGAUCCUUGGUUAUCCUACCAAUGCUACUCACUAGAGGAAAAAUCCUCAUAAGUAGCUCCUUAUAGGUGGCCGUUGUUUAAUAAGGGCAACCUUUGACAAAAAAAUUUAAAAAAUAAAAUUAAAAAAACAAAAAAUUUCCCUGGAGUUUCACAAGCGCAACCUUUAAUCUAAUUAAACACAAACUCUCAUUUCUCAGCUCCGUGUUCAGCUCGCGCACAACCGCACACCAUUGUCAUCUCUCUGCUCCUUCUCGUACCGGCGACCCCCAAUAUCCCUCCUCCUUCUUGUACCGGCGACCUCUAAUCUCCCUCCUCCUUCUCCACCGGCUCGCACACCCUCCACCAGCUCGCACGUCCUCCUCUUCCGGCCUCAUUCAUUACUGGUCAUGGAACAAGCCUCAGCCAGAAGUGAGGAGUUUGCCGACAUAACCAAUUACACCCUUGGUGUCGAAUGGCGAAGGUACUUACCUCAUUGGUGGGGGGGUUUCAGGAAAUAUUUCUCAGCUGCCGUAUUUUUUGAUUCGACGGGGAAAUUGUGAAAGGAGCAGACUUUGGCCCGGAAACCUGCAGGAUUUUUUGUUAGUACUGGUACACAAGGCGGCAGCCAGGAGACUACUACGUCCCUGGACUUGCUGUAGUCAUCGUGGGGAACAGGAAGGAUUCUCAAAGCUAUGUGAUUGAUUCAAAUCCUAAUUGCUUCUUUUAAAUGCCGAACUUGUAUUUUGCUACCCUUAUGGAGAUUUCUUUUUGACAGGGAUGUCUUGAGCUUCUGUCUCGAAGUGGUAUUAGUGUAAAAGGCAAAAUGGCAGUUGUUGUAGGUCGUAGUAAUAUUGUUGGAUUGCCAGUAUCACUCCUCCUCUUGAAAGAAGAUGCAACAGUUAGUAUUGUCCACUCUCGUACAACUGAUCCUGAAAUCAUUAUUCGUCAAGCUGACAUCGUCAUUGCUACAGCAGGACAAGCCAUGAUGAUGAUCCAUUACAGAUGAAUGAGAUGUUACUGUGUCAGGUUCUUCUCAGGAAUAGUCGUGUGGGACUGCUUUCCAGGACAGAGAGAGAACUAGCGGUCUCCCAGUUCCUCAAGAAGAUCAACCAGUGGAGGUUUUGGCUGGGAAACACCUGAGACAGCAUCUGCAACACCCAUGAAGGGCAAUUCAGGCUGGAUCAGUCUAGAUUAUUCUGCAAUUGGUGAUGGGAGUUUCUCAACUUCUGAAAAAUUGGGGGAGAAAAGAGAGCCAAGGCAGAAAAAACAAUUACAUUGGAAGUUCUUUGUCAGCAUUUUGCAGGAAGCCUCAAGGAUGCUGCGAAGAGCAUUGGUGCCGCUUAAUUUCGGUUGAAAGAAGAAAACUAGCGAAAUCUUUGCUUAAGACAACAAGGGGCCUUGAAGCUUUGAAUUUUGAUAUACAACAGCGAGCACUUAAGCCCACUACAAACAGGGCUUUCCCAAUUCAAGGAUUUAUGCCAAGCCACUUGCAGAUUUUAUUACAAAGCAAGACAGGGAGAUUUUGCAAAGUUUAUCAUUUAAGGCUGAAACUCGAGUAAGAAAGUUAUAAGAUCAGUUAAGUGCGCCCAACAAAAGGGUGGGGUCGAGUGUGGCUAUUACGUGAUGAAAUUCCAGCAUGACACAUUCAAAAGUUGCAAGGAAAUUCAAGAUAUCGAAAAGGUUUUCAAAACUCCAAGGGAGGGGCCCUUGACCAAAAAGGAGUUGGAUGAAGGUCGAGACAAGUGGGCUAUUUACUUCAACGAUUGUGAACUACCCUCAGUGUAAUAAAAAUAAUAGAGCAGACUUGUAGUUAUUCGUGACUCUUACAUUAUUUUGUUAUUUAUCGAUUUAAUUAAUUACAUUUGAAUUAAUUCGGUAAUAUUAUUGUAAAUUUGAAAUUUAUUUCAUUUUUGAGAAUGUCAAGCUGAUGUUUGAUGAAACAGAAAUUAUAUUGCAAAA